rnacentral:misc_RNA from 1 species
CCAAUGGUGUUAGGUAUACGUCCACUGAGCAUGUUGUAAGAAAGAUCAAGAUAUCUUAGGUUGACCAAGCCACCGAUGCUGGGACUCAGGAUCCCAGACAAAUUCGUCGCACUCAACUCAAAUUGAGAGAUUGGACCACAGGCUCAUAAUCUGAAGUGCAAUUCACGGCGAUCCACCCACAUGGUGUCUGGUCAGUGGAUUUCCAGUUAUUCAAAUGAUCAAAUUCAUCAUGAAUGCUAUUCUUUAGAUCCAGGAGGUAGUGCCCCUCAGAAUUCAACCCCUCAGAAGUACAAACCAAUAGCAAGAGCCAAAAUACUGUAAACCCUGCUUCAAAAGUUCUACUUGACAUUCUAGUAUCCCUCAGCUUGAUCAUGAUUAUAGCAUAAUAUGAUAAUUCCGAACCUGUUUAAGCCAAGUAAUCAAUCAAUCAAUCACUCAUCAAAGAAGAGAUAGUAAAAGCAAUAACUGCACC